rnacentral:sRNA from 2 species
CACAGACUGAGGUGCACUACUGGGAUAUCUGAUCUACUCAGAAUCGUGACUGACUGAGAUUUUUUUCUGUUCACUUUGUUGAUCCCAUUUUCUUAUUCUAUACACAACUAGCUGCUAUUGCUCUACAUUCUUCUAUAUUUGAUGUUUUGGAUUCUGCACAUCUAUUCUAUCAACGCUACCAAUUCCAUCAUCUUUGAUACUUGUUGUCCUUAAUCUCUCUCUUUCACAAUCAGUCAAUGUUUCUCAUCUUUGGUGCACACCGGCGAUGGGCAGCAUCCACACAUUGAGACAGUAUGUCAAUGAACAAAAAAAAAAAAAUCCUUCACGUGACAGAAGCAGUAGUUGACUUGCUGCACUGCGGACCAUUAUAUAUCAGGCUCUGAUCAGAGUGUGAGGUCUGAAAGGUUGCAAGGGUGACAUAUUCAGAUAAAAGAAAUAAAUCUCCUCAAUGAUUCAAGCCUUGC